AUUUUUUUUAAGUGUUUAUUACAUAAAACAUAAUUUACCAAUUUUUCUGCACCAGUUGCACAUUUCCACAUGCAAUGUCUCAUUAUUGAUGAUUGGAGCAAAAAUAUUUGAAAAUCCAAAGCCUAAAACAGGUAUAUUGAUGGGCUGAAAUAAUGAAAAGGAACAAACAUGUAGCCCCCUUUUUUUAAUUUUUUUUUGUAUAGGGACAUUAGCUCCUAAAUUUACCCUCUUUAACGGAAAUAACUGGGUUUUUUAAUAUCUGUUACUAUACAAAAUGCUAUACCUCUGUUUCAUCAUUUUUUGAAAAGUAAAAUCACAAAAAUACGUCCCUAAUCAAAUGGCAAAAUCAAAUGAUAAAAUACAUCAACGACAACAAAUCUCAUAUUCCUGACUUGGUACAGGCAUUUUCAAAUGUAGAAAAUGGUGGAUUAAACCUGGUUUUAUAGUGCUAAACCUCUCACUUGUAUGACAGUUGCAUCAAAUUCCAUUAUAUUUACAACAAUUUGUGAACAAAACAGAC
rnacentral:lncRNA from 1 species